CCGGGGAACUUAUUUAUCUGGCACACCUGUUCCUCUGUAUAGACGUGAUCUAGCUUCAGGAAGAACAGCUCAGCAGGAGGAAAUGGGUGUUGGUUCACUUGUUGAAAAGUAGAUGUGCACUGACAUAAAAACAGAGGAACAUGAUUCUACAGCACGCUCUGUUGUUGUGUAGACGACAUCUAGCUCCAGACAGUGUCUGGGUGCUCAUGUUUGCGCAUACUAUUAACAAGUUAAUGUCGACAAGUUGCAAGUCAGGCAGCACCUGGAUAGAACGUCAUCAUUUCGCGCAUGCGCAUUAGCGUGAAAACAGACGACCUUAAUUAUCUGGCACACCUGUUGUGCCGUGUAGUUGAGAUCUAGCAUCAGGUGUUGUUGUUUAUCAGACGCAUCAGGAACAUCUCAGCAGAAAGGAAGGAGUAGAUCACUGGAAACAACAUGAACCCCAAUUUUCCAUAUGGUGCAUAUCCUCCCAUCCAAGCGCCAGGCCCAUACCUACCACCAUCACAGACAGUAUGGGGAGGUCCCUAUAUGCCACCGAUGAAUCCUGGUUAUUUUCCAGCACAGUAUGGGCCUUAUCAUCAUCCUCCUCCUCCUCAUCAUCAUCAUGAUCAUGGGCAUCACCAUCACCAUGGUCUUUUGUCUCAUCUCCUUCCUGGACAUCACCAUGGUCACCACCAUGACCAUCACCACCACCAUGGGCAUCACCACCACGGACAUUGCUAGCAUGGCAAAAAAUAAAUUGCAUGGACUUCUGGCAGCCUUUGAAGGUUUUGGUGAUGGAAGAUUGCAUGCAGAUCCUCUUCAAAUGAAGCAAUUUUUUUUCUCUCUUUGAAUACCUUGCUAUAGUUAGAAAAAUGUAUUAAUCAUUGCUUGGAGCUUUUAUGCAUUUAACAAUGUGACUGCAUGAGGUUGCUUAAAACCAAAUUGAAAUUCUAUUGCCAUCUUUUUUUUUUUUUAUUUCAUUAGAAACAUAAAAUUAAUAAAAAUGUUUAUAAAACAAA